rnacentral:rRNA from 1 species
GACGAACGCUGGCGGCGUGCUUAACACAUGCAAGUCCAACGGAAAGGCCUCUUUCGGGGGGUACUCGAGUGGCGAACGGGUGAGUAACACGUGAGUAACCUGCCCUUGACUUUGGGAUAACUUCAGGAAACUGGGGCUAAUACCGGAUAGGAGCUCCUGCUGCAUGGUGGGGGUUGGAAAGUUUCGGCGGUUGGGGAUGGACUCGCGGCUUAUCAGCUUGUUGGUGGGGUAGUGGCUUACCAAGGCUUUGACGGGUAGCCGGCCUGAGAGGGUGACCGGCCACAUUGGGACUGAGAUACGGCCCAGACUCCUACGGGAGGCAGCAGUGGGGAAUAUUGCACAAUGGGUGGAAGCCUGAUGCAGCAACGCCGUGUGCGGGAUGACGGCCUUCGGGUUGUAAACCGCUUUCGCUCAUGACGAAGCUUUGUGUGACGGUAGUGGGUAAAGAAGCACCGGCUAACUACGU